rnacentral:lncRNA from 8 species
GGGGGGGGGGGGGGCGCUAUAAAAAAACAAAGCCCUGGGGCCUAUGAUUUGUUAAACUGGCCCUGGGCACACUGUGGGAAUUCCUAUGGAACAGCACACUGUUGGCAUGGCUAUGGGAAUGAACACACUAGCAGAUAACAGGAACGACUUUGCAAGUGAAAGUUCAUGGACUCACGGUGAUAUCCUUUGAGGCUUUGACGCUUGAACCACACGAGAAACAGUCGCCUGACAAGAAGUGAGUUACUUUUAUAUUUACUGUUCUGUUUACUCUCGGUUUUUCAUAUUAUGCAAAUGUUAUAUACACAUAAUAGCAAGUUCAAAUUGUGUGAUAAGUUAGUUAUCUACGUUUGUACUGGACUUUCGUUCAACUAUUAAAAUUAGAGCGCAAAGUCAUGUUUGUGUCUCUGUCUCCACGGUGCCUGUAACAAGAUUCAGCUAAAUAUCUCCUAGAGGUUGCAACUGUUAGAGGCUAUACAUUAGUUUACGACCUAUUUUACACGUCAAAAACAUUCAUUCAAUGGAUUAUUCAGGAUUUGAAGACUUACAUCUUGUAAAAUGCGUGCAAAACAAAUAAUUGAAGUAUUUUGGGCUGAAGUCUGACACCAAGUUAAUUUCAGUGCUACCACUGUCAAAGUAAAGUUUGUUCAAAUUGUACAGAACAUUCGACUGUUGCAAAAUAUGGCUUUCAAAGGCAUGCCACUCAGAGUACACAGCAACCACGCCGCCUAAUUUUGAAGUCUGAUUUUCCCAUGCUCAUAAUUUUCAAACUGAGACUAUGGUGUUUUGAGCACUAGCUAAAAGACAUUGUUCAAACUUCAAAUAGCCCCCGAUCUGAUUUCAGGGAGGCUUUUGUCACAAGCUUCAUAGAAUGGCAAAUAUUUCGUUUAUGCUCCUAAUAAUAAUGCAUCCUGCUAGUUUCAUAUAAGGAUGCUUUAUUGCAAGAGCUAUAUUUCCAUAACCCGAAGCUCAUUAUUAUGUGCUCAUCUGUAUAUGAAGACAUUGACUGUGGGUUGAACUUAAUAUAAAAUGUCAGUCAGUCUCAGGGGAGAACGACUGACCCCUCAUUGAAGCCACGACGUUCAAGGCCGACCACGGUACUGCAGGCGUUCUUUGCAGAAAACCGGAUCUCCCAUUUAUAAGGAAUGGGGAAAAUGGCAAUUUUAUAUUACACCUGAUGUAUGUCCUUGAACCGAUUAUUCUAAAAUCGCACACAGAAUAAGUUAUAAGGAUCAUUUAGUAGCUAUUGGCAGCCUGCAGUACCCCGGUCGGCAUUCAACUUGAGAUACUCAAUGAGAGGGGGGGGGGCAGCACUGAGCUAGCCUGCAACGUCACUACCUGGAGUAGCUCAAGCUGCUCAUG